GUUCAGAUAGCUCAGUCAGUAGAGCCUUAGCUUCUCAAUCUCAGGGUUGUGGGUUCAAACCCCACAUUGGGGCA